UUAACUAUUAUAUAGUACUCAGACAUCACUAAACAAAAGAGUGUUGGUCCUCUGGCAGGCACAGGCGACCUGCCAAAGCAACAAAGGUAAUAUAAUCAUGGGUGGAGAAUCUACGUCCCCCGGCCGAGCGGCUCGAGGUAUAGUGACGCAUACAAUGCACAGCUGUAAAAUGCAUUCCUCAAAAUAGUUAUUAUUUUAAUGAUCCUUCCGCAGGUUCACCUACGGAAA
rnacentral:misc_RNA from 1 species